rnacentral:rRNA from 1 species
CCUACGGGUGGCAGCAGUGAGGAAUAUUGGUCAAUGGGCGAGAGCCUGAACCAGCCAAGUCGCGUGAGGGAAGACGGUCCUCUGGAUUGUAAACCUCUUUUGCCGGGGAGCAAAAAGCGGUACGUGUACCGCAUCGAGAGUACCUGGUGAAAAAGCAUCGGCUAACUCCGUGCCAGCAGCCGCGGUAAUACGGAGGAUGCGGGGGUUAUCCGGAUUUAUUGGGUUUAAAGGGUGCGCAGGCGGCGUUUUAAGUCAGCGGUAAAAUUUGGGGGCUAAACCGCGACAAGCCGUUGAAACUGGCAUGAUAGAGUGGGCGAGAGGCAGGCGGAAUGCGGGGUGUAGCGGUGAAAUGCAUAGAUAUCACGCAGAACUCCGAUUGCGAAGGCAGCAUGCCGACGCCCAACUGACGCUCAGGCACGAAAGCGUGGGUAUCGAACAGGAUUAGAUACCCCUGUAGUC